rnacentral:rRNA from 1 species
GUGUCAGCCGCCGCGGUAAUACAGAGGGUGCGAGCGUUUAUCGGAAUUACUGGGCGUAAAGGGUGCGUAGGUGGUUCGAUAAGUCAGAUGUGAAAUCCCUGGGCUUAACCUGGGAAUUGCAUUUGAUACUGUCAAACUAGAGUGUGGUAGAGGUAAGCGGAAUUCCCGGUGUAGCGGUGAAAUGCGUAGAUAUCGGGAGGAACAUCAGUGGCGAAGGCGGCUUACUGGACCAACACUGACACUGAGGCACGAAAGCGUGGGUAGCAAACAGGAUUAGAAACCCCAGUAGUCC